UACGGAGGGUGCAGGCGUUAAUCGGAAUCACUGGGCGUAAAGCGCGCGUAGGCGGCCAGGUAAGUCAGAUGUGAAAGCCCCGAGCUCAACUUGGGAACUGCAUUUGAUACUGCCGGGCUCGAGUCCGAUAGAGGGGGGUGGAAUUCCAGGUGUAGCGGUGAAAUGCGUAGAUAUCUGGAGGAACACCGGUGGCGAAGGCGGCCCCCUGGAUCGAGACUGACGCUGAGGUGAGAAAGCGUGGGGAGCAAACAGG
rnacentral:rRNA from 1 species